GUUCCUUUGGGGAGAUCUGAUAAAACUGGAUCGAUAGAGAGAGAUUAAUAUGACCCUUGCACAAGAAUAACACUAGCAAAUCGGAGAAGGGUUUUGUCUGG